UGAUCUGUAAGUAGGAGGCAGAGAGA
rnacentral:piRNA from 1 species